rnacentral:rRNA from 1 species
AGCGAGAAAAUGGCUUCGGCCAUGAGUACAGCGGCGGACGGGUGAGUAAUACAUGGAUAAUCUGCCUUUAGGACUGGGACAACCCUGGGAAACUAGGGCUAAUACCGGAUAAGACCACAGAAUCUGCGGAUUCAGUGGUAAAAGGUGGCUUUCGGGCUAUCACCUAGAGAUGAGUCCAUGUCCCAUCAGGUUGUUGGUGAGGUAACGGCCCACCAAGCCUAAGACGGGUAGCCGGCCUUAGCGGGUGAUCGGCCACACGGGGACUGAGACACGGCCCCGACUCCUACGGGAGGCAGCAGUGGGGAAUAUUGGACAAUGGGCGCAAGCCUGAUCCAGCAAUACCGCGUGAGGGAUGAAGGCCCUAGGGUCGUAAACCUCUGUCAGUUGGAACGAUGGGUUUGUAGGUUAAUACCCUGCAAACUUGACGGUACCUUCAAAGGAAGCCCCGGCUAACUCCGUGCCAGCAGCCGCGGUAAUACGGAGGGGGCAAGCGUUGCUCGGAAUUACUGGGCGUAAAGGGUCCGCAGGUGGCUUUGUAAGUUAGAUGUGAAAUCUCAGGG